UUUACAGCACAUUUGUUUUUACAAACUUUGAUUUAUGAUCCUUAUUGAUUUUUGUAGAUUCAUUUAUGCUUUUAAAUACAGCUUCUUUUUGUGCAAAAUUGCAGGUCCUGAAGCUGUGAGCAGACAUGGAGGAUGUGAUACUAUCCUUCAAAGUGGACAUGGACUAGAUGAUCAGAAGCUGUGUCAGCAACGCUAAUGAGCAAAACAAAGUAAAUUUAUGUUCCUGAAGCUGUGGGCCCUCUCCUGACAACCUAUCCGCAAGAGUUCAGUUAUGUGAGUAGCUCUUAUGUGACAGAGUGAUGUGAGCCAAUGCCUUGUAUCUGUUACUUUAGCAAAAUGCACACUGAUUGUAAUAAGUAACAUAUUCCUACAAGCAUGUCAAUGAAGCCAGACAAAAAUGUGCACCAGCAGGUAAGAGAAUUAUUUUAAAUAUGUACACACACAACAGAUCAAAUCUAUAGGCCUCAUUAGGUAUUGUCUUUUUCCACAGUAAAAAUUUUUGCUUCAUCGGUUCCUAACCUUGUGAUCUUUGACUGAAUUUUAUGUAAGAUGUUGCACACAGGCAGUUUACUUUUACAGACUUCUGAACUUUCAGCUGUUUAGAAGCUGUUGGUUGAAGGUGAUGAAUACAACAAAGAACGAGGGUUUGACAGAAAACUGGUGUUAGAACUGUUACUUUGGUCAGUGGCUCUUCUACCAACAUAAUGCAGGAAUGCUGCAGGGUUAUUAACCAACAAAUCUCUCCUCUGUAGUCUAAAAAUAUCUCCCAAUUGGGUGCCUUAGUAAAAUGCCAUGUGUUAUAAAUGGCAAAGCUGAUUUUGAACUUACAGGGAUAGUGAGGAGGGACUGUUAGAGCUUUGAUAUUUAGCAGAGUGGUAAUGGACAUGUAGCCAUACACAUAGAUAACCCUAAGUAAUUGCUUUCCCUGCUUAGAUUAGAUGUUUUUUAUCUUGGACUAAAUCCAUAAGUCAAAAUCCUGCCAUUGUGUACAGUUGUCUUCACAGGGUAUGUGUGUCUGACUUUAUUUAUUUAUUUAUUCAGUUUUGGGACAAUCCUCUUUAAUAAUUUAUAAAUCUCAGUUUUCUCUUGGUUCACAAAUAUUGCACUGAGUUUUAAAUCUGUGUGGUUAAUGACAGGCAUUAAGUGAACUUGCUGACUCAGGAAAUUAGUAGUGAUUAAGAGAGGCUCUCACAUAGGUCAAAUCAGCAGUGACAGGAUAUUUUUGCCAUCUGAUGGCUGUUUUAGGCUCAUGCUGGCUGUGGACACUUUCAAUUUGUAUAGCACACUUCAUCCUCUGCUAUUAU
ensembl:lncRNA